rnacentral:rRNA from 1 species
UCCGUAGGUGAACCUGCGGAAGGAUCAUUAACGAGUUUUGAAACGAGUUGUAGCUGGCCUUCCGAGGCAUGUGCACGCUCUGCUCAUCCACUCUACCCCUGUGCACCUACUGUAGGUUGGCGUGGGCUCCUUUGCGGGAGCAUUCUGCCGGCCUAUGUAUACUACAAACACUUUAAAGUAUCAGAAUGUAAACGCGUCUAACGCAUCUAUAAUACAACUUUUAGCAACGGAUCUCUUGGCUCUCGCAUCGAUGAAGAACGCAGCGAAAUGCGAUAAGUAAUGUGAAUUGCAGAAUUCAGUGAAUCAUCGAAUCUUUGAACGCACCUUGCGCUCCUUGGUAUUCCGAGGAGCAUGCCUGUUUGAGUGUCAUGGAAUUCUCAACUUAUAAAUCCUUGUGAUCUAUAAGCUUGGACUUGGAGGCUUGCUGGCCCUUGUUGGUCGGCUCCUCUUGAAUGCAUUAGCUUGAUUCCGUACGGAUCGGCUCUCAGUGUGAUAAUUGUCUACGCUGUGACCGUGAAGUGUUUUGGCAAGCUUCUAACCGUCCAUUAGGACAACUUUUUAACAUCUGACCUCAAAUCAGGUAGGACUACCCGCUGAACUUAAGCAUAUCAAUAAGCGGAGGA